CGAAAAUUUCUAGAAGCUCUCUCUCCAUGCAUCUUUUGUACAUGAAUAAUCAAUAAAUAAAAGCUUGUUUAUUAAUGGAAAAAUCUACAAUAAACUUCAAGAAAUGGGCAUGAAUAUUACAACCUACAAAUGGAAAAUGCUACCGAUAAGCAAGCAGCUAACAGGUUAGUUGUACAUUUUACAAGUACUCUUAGAAAUUGGUGGGACAAUUAUCUCACAGAACGAAAUAGAAAUGAAAUUCUUGAUACUGUAUCAAACAAGAGUAUUGUUAAGACUGAAGGAUGACAGACCUCCACGACUGUAGAAGUGGUUGAGGAUGAAACCGCUACUCUACUCUACAACAUUGCUAAACAUUUUGUGGGAGAACCAUGACUUUUCCAAGAUAGAAGUUUAGAAAUAUUAAACAAUCUAUACUGUACGAAAUUAACUUAUUUCAGGUGGUAUAAAGAUAUGUUUAUAACUAAGGUCAUGCUAAGAGAUGACUGCAAUAAUGAUUAUUGGAAAGAACGUUUCCUUAGUGGAUUACCCCCUCAUUUUGAUGAAAAAGUCAGAUCCAAAAAUAAGAGAUCGAUGUGAUGGUAAAAUCCCCUACCCCCAUCUUACUUAUGGUGAUCUUACUAGUUUGAUUCAUUUUGUAGCUAUGGAGCUUUGUACAGAUAUUAAGCUAAAAAACAAAUUUAAAAAGAUAAAAAUCUUCAGCUAACGAACUUUGCAGCUUUUGCCAACACUUCGUAUUUCCAUGUUUACAACAACCUUCAGCAAUAAUGGUUUCAAAAAAAGAACGAUCUGGAGAUUCGCACCAUCGUAAGAAAUCCUCUCGAAGGAAAGUUCGUUCGAAAGAAAAAAGAAGUAGGAAAACUUCUAACAACAGUUCUAAAGAGGGAAAGUUUUGGACAUGUGGAAAAACAGGUCACAAGUCUCCUGACUGUCCAAGAAACAAAAAGAAGAAGAAGAAAAUCAAUCUUCUUGAAGUAGACCAAGAAACUAAAAACAAAUUUCUUUAGAUUUUUGAAGAAGAAGAAUCAGGAUCAGAUUCUGAUUCCUCUUCAUAUGAAAAACUGAGGAUGAAGAAUUUCUUAAUGUUGCCCAGAACUCUGAAGAUAGUGGUCAAGAAUGCAAUUGCCAAGGAGCAUUUUACCAUUGUGACGACCAAUCUAUUCGAGUCCUCUCUGAAGAUUCUGUAUAAGUCUUGUUCGCAAAUAUUGAGCAUAUCAAUGACGAUGAAGCUCGAAGAAGCUAUUUUUUCGAACUUCAAAAGCUUGUCAUCAAACAAAAGGACAAGGAAGUUGAAUAAGUGUAACUCCUUUUAGCAUGAAACAAAUCAUGCAGCGAUAUAUAUAUAAGAAGGAAGAAUUUUCAAUAAAUAAACUACGUACAGAAGUCAAUCUUCUUAAAGAAAAGGAAAAGGAAGUUACAACAAGUGUAACUCCUUUUAGCAUGAAACAAAAGCUUGUCAUCAAACAAAAGGAAAAGGAAGUUACAACAAGUGUAACUCCUUUUAGCAUGAAACAAAUCAUGAAGCGAUAUACAUAUAAGAAGGAAGAACCUUCUAUAAAUGAACUACGUGCAGAAGUCAAUCUUCUUAACUAAGAAGAAAGAGAAGUGAAGUCAUGACUCAACAAGAUUUAAAUAGAUAGUUUGGCAGCACAAUUUUUAAAGGAUGUUGCCAUAUCAUCUAAAGGAAAAGAACCUGUUACCUCGGUUGAUGAAGAGGAAAUUCUAAUGAUUCUCAGUAUACUCCUUUAUCACCCAAAGGUAAUGAUGAUGCAGGUAUUAGUCUAAUAACAAAAGUGAGACCCCAGAGCUCUCAUAUUAUGAUUAAAUUAGUGAUAAAUAAUAAUUUUGUACUUAACAAAAUUUCUUUGUAAGACAACGAUGCAAAUAGAAACUGCAUAGUUAAAGGUUUGAUUCCUACAAAGUACCUUUAGAAGGGAACUACUAAGUUAUACAGCGCGACUGCUGAGCGUAUCUGUAUAAAUUAUAAACUUUCAAAUGCUCAUAUAUGGAAUGACGGUAUAUGCCUUGCUAA